CUCUUUAUUGAGCUGCUAGUUGCUUACAUCUUUUAACGCCGGCCAGGCUGAGUGUUGAAUGCUGUUUUUCCCUUUUCACUCAGGAGUAAGGAUUGCAAAGGCUGCAGGCAGUGGAAGAUCAGGCAUGCAGCACGCACAUUUGACGCACCACCCAUUGCUGGGGUGUCUCCUUGAACGUGCUUUUUUCUACACCAUAGACUGGUAUUUUCUACAGAACGAACACAAAGAUCGUCUGGUGAAAUCCUUUCCUCCCAUUUACAGUUGCACACCGUCCAGGUCAGUUGUCUGAGGACACAACAGAUCCGAGUGUCCCACUGGAUAUGUACCAUCUUAAAGGCUCACUGUGAAAUCUGUUGAGCUGGGGAAGCUCAAUGAGUUCAUCUGGCACUCCUUCCUAACAGCCUGUCUGUCACUUGCUGGUGACCAAGAGAGCUUGGAAAUGCCAUCUGUGAGAGGGCUUAUGCCCCACCUUGGAUGGAAAGUGCUGAGCUUGUCCCUCCAUGAGAAGGUGUUCCCCAGGGACCUACUCUGAAAUCUGUAAUGCUAUGGAAGCUAAAUUGGGUCAAAUGUUUGUGCUUCUUCCCAAUGUUUUAACUCACUGCCAUUUUCUUGCUUUUAGAGAAGCAGUUAGAAAAAAACUACCCCUUUUUUUAUGUGUGUGUGUGUAUGAGUGCUCUCCAAAGUAAUGGUGGUGGCACUGGUGUACUUACGUGGCACCAGAAAAUCAUGAUAAUCCUUUCAGUACAGGAUAAUUAUUUGGCUUUACUGCUGUAUCCCUUGUAGCUGGAUAUCCAUUUUCCUUUGCUAACAUAUGCUUGUCCUGUUCAAUAGCAAUUUGUUCUGAAAAUGCUUGCAUGCCUGCUGGGCAAGCUACAUGAAUCCAG
ensembl:lncRNA